rnacentral:piRNA from 1 species
UCCGAAACAAAACUUCACGAGAACUUGGU